rnacentral:lncRNA from 1 species
CGGUUCGCGAUCCUCCUCUCUGGCUCCGGGCUGCGCGCAGAGUCUGGGUGGCGAGCGAAUGGUGCCUGCGAUCUUCUGCCUCGGGGAGCCGGCUGUCUUCCUUGUGCUAAAAAAAGGGAGGAAGUCUGUCUGCCACAGGGCAGAGGGUGGUAUCCAAAGGGUCUCCUCUCCUUGAGUGACUGGUUCCUCCAUUGGAUCUCAGCUCGUAGCUCCUGACCUCAAGCAAUGUCAUCUGAAAGGGAAUCAGGAGCAAGCACCAAGAAAUGAGCUGAGCAGUCUCUCUCCAAAUGUUUUCUGUAGGCAAGGUUCAUCGAGUGCUGUAGCAAUUGUAGAGGCGUCCGAGGGAGACAGGGGCCAGCGGGUUGGCUAGAACGACUUGCAACUAUGUUAAUGACUUUGGCCAAGUAACGUUUGAAGUUCAACUGAGCCAGAAUGGACAGAGACGAGUGCUACUGAAGUGGAAAUGUCUUAUAUCCUGUUUUGUGAUUCCCUGCCUCAGAGCUGAGUCACCCCUGCCUGAAGAAAGGAUCCUUCAUCCCAAGGCUCACUCACUUCCUAUCCAAGCCAUCUCAAGCUAAAGGCAAAUGAACCAAGGAACCCCUCCUGCGCCUGGACCUGAAGAUGAAGGGCUAUAAUCCCAGCUUCUCAGGAGGACAAGGCGGGAGGAGUUCCAGGUCACUCUGGGAAAUCUAGAGACUCUCAAAAAAAAAAAAAAAAUCAAAAGGAUUGGAAACUUCAAGGAGUCAUAGUACAAUGGAUAACCUUCUCAGUGCACAUGGGUCCCGUGCCCUAGCACCCAAUAGGUAGAUCUCCUGCUUGUCCGUUCCCUAGCAUCCAAUACUGGCAAGAGAGGCAAAGGCCCCCACCUCCUCUGCCUCUCUCCUUACUCCCUUUCCCGACUCAGAGUCCUAGGUUGGUUAAGAACCCCCUAGCCCCACAGGCAGCUGUCCUUUGCACUUAGCCAAGCAAGGUGGGGUGGGCAUGACCCCCAUUCUGACUUGUACUUCCUCUCUCUGUUGCCAGGCUUCUAGUUGGCAUUGCUCGCCUGCCACUUCCUCCAUUCCAACCGUCUCUCUUCACUCUGAAACCCAAAGCCUGCUCAAGACCCAGUUGGUUCAGAGCUCAGGUUCAUGUGUCUUAGGAGAGGGUUCUAUUAGUCUGGAAAAUGAGUGCAGCCAGAAGACAAGAAACUGGCUGGGGGGGGGAUUGGGGGAAGGGAAGAUGACCGAGGAGCCCCCCCCCCUUCUCUCUACCCCAUCCCAUGAUUUCCUUUGUCUCCUGUCCCAAUCCCAACCCAUCUCCCCACCCCCAGCCUAUGAGCCUGGAGGCUUCCCAAUAAAACAGUAUUGUAAC